rnacentral:lncRNA from 1 species
GUAAGCCAGAAAAGGAAGUGCAGAAGUACAUUCUAGGCUUUGAAGCAGAAACAUCAUUGAUCUGGGUCUGGAGCAAAGCGAAAGCAGUUUGAAGAUAUCGACAACCGCCUUAAUCUACUUCCCAUCUACAGUCUACCAAGCUGGGAGCAUAACAAAGUGAAAACAACUUCUCCCUUACUGAAUUAACUAGCAGAGUGCUUGUUUUGCGGUCGAACGUCAGAAGACGAACUGUUGACUGUCUAAUAACAGUACAGCGGGUGCAGACAAUGGCAAUCAAAGCUAAUUAAGCAUUGUCUGAUUAUAAUGAGGGGUUAGUGGACAGGUUAACAGCGCAAUCAACCCCAUCAAGUAUUGCCUCGGUCGAGAGACAGAAUUAAAACCCACUCAGCAUUAUGAACUCAAAGGCAAAGGUCGCGGCUGGGGAAUUAAGAAGAGCACACUGAGGUAAGGCUGUUGAAUGUGUUAGAAAGCAAUCGAUCAUUAGCAAAAUACCCUGGUCUGACAACAGACUUUUUUUCUUUUUGUUUUUUUUACUUUUAUGCACUUAUGGUAAGGACUAGUUCAAAGUGGCAUAAGUGAGUUUGGUUUUCUUCAUGUGUGUUUUAUUCUUCAUGAGUUGAAACAGUGCUGAAAUUGACUUUUUUUUAAACAUUUGUUAAUGCGUGGUCAUUGCAGUUAUUUUUACUUAAGGCUGCUGAAUGUAUUAGAAAGCAAUCAAUCAAUAGCAAAACAUCCUGCUCUGAAAACAGACAAAAAACAGACUUUUUCUUUUCGUUUUUUACUUUUAGGCACUUAUGGAGAGGACUACUUAAAAGUGGUGUAGAAGCUGAAGCUCUCUUCCACGUCAUGGCUACUUGGUACUCAUCUUUACAUAUUUCAUGAGGCGCUGCACACGGAGCGAACUUCCUCUCCAGAGCCAUCGCAUGGAUAACCCUGGAUCCCUGUGCCUUCACACAUGCGGAAGCGCCGCUGCCAGCCCGAGUCACAGGUCUUCGAGCACAGGCUCCAGUGAUUCCACGCACCCCAGUUCCCUCCACCUGCAAAGAGGAACAGGAGAUAAAUACGAGGAGGAGAAACAGCCAGAAUACUGCAACGAUUCGAGGAGGCUUAUCAAUGGCCAUCCACACACUGGAGGAUUGAUUUAAUAAGAGAACAAUCUG